UUUAUGCCUUCCUAUUCAAACUGUGCUACUCCAAUGGAAUGAUGACGCAUACCUUUUUAUCCAAUCUUGAAUAAUAGCAGUCAGAUGUUAGCGGCCCAGUUAUGUCUUCAUGGUAUGUCUCAGAUGGUAGUUUGUGGGUUCAAGUCCUUAAAAGUAGUUGAUACAGUUCUUGAUCUCCCAUCUGCCAGGAUCUGUCGUUGAAUGUUCAAGACGUAUUUCCUAUGACAGUCAUAGUAUUGAGACAUGGUGUGAUAAUUUGGUAACAUCUAUGCAAAUAUCAUUGGGUUAGAAUGAGGCAUAUGAACUAGAAUUAUAUAUUCUGGUGCUCUGAUGGCCCCUCUUAGUUCUUUGUUGUAUGUGGUGGAAGUUCAAUUGCCAAAUAAACAGUCUAAUAUUGUAAUUCGUCAUGUUAGGAAAUUAUUGUUAAACAUCUGUAAAUAACACAGUUUGACCUUCAUUAACAUAUUUCUGGUAGGCUGGAAAACCUUCCCAUUGAGAGCAUAAGCUCUUUUAUUAUACAUUUAAAUUGUACUCUACAUUUUUUUGACAGAUGCGGCGUUUGACGUAAUUCCAGUUUAGAAUGUGGUUUAAUUA